AGCGGCGCCGCCGCGCCCCCCCUCUAUUUUUGCCUCCGAUGAGGCCCUUCCCGGCCUUCGUUCGAUGCAAAUUUUAUACCACUGUGAUCACCGUUCUUUUCUCUACAGGUUGAUCGGAGCCAAACAUCAAAAUGCGACUCAUGUUGGAGGAGCCGCCGCACCUGAGAGCACUGCCGCCGGUAAGUUUUAGUUUUUCGUGAUUUU
rnacentral:lncRNA from 1 species